GAUGAACGCUAGCUACAGGCUUAACACAUGCAAGUCGAGGGGAAACGAUAGAGAAAGCUUGCUUUUUCUAGGCGUCGACCGGCGCACGGGUGAGUAACGCGUAUCCAACCUGCCCAUCACUUGGGGAUAACCUUGCGAAAGUAAGACUAAUACCCAAUGACGUCUCUAGAAGACAUCUGAAAGAGAUUAAAGAUUUAUCGGUGAUAGAUGGGGAUGCGUCUGAUUAGCUUGUUGGCGGGGUAACGGCCCACCAAGGCGACGAUCAGUAGGGGUUCUGAGAGGAAGGUCCCCCACAUUGGAACUGAGACACGGUCCAAACUCCUACGGGAGGCAGCAGUGAGGAAUAUUGGUAAAUGGACGAGAGUCUGAACCAGCCAAGUAGCGUGCAGGAUGACGGCCCUAUGGGUUGUAAACUGCUUUUAUAAGGGAAUAAAGUGAGAGUCGUGACUCUUUUUGCAUGUACCUUAUGAAUAAGGACCGGCUAGUUCCGUGCCAGCCGCCGCCGUAA
rnacentral:rRNA from 1 species